ensembl:processed_transcript
CUUGAGCCAGCAGCGGUUAACCCGGCCCGGGGUUCUGGGCCUCAGCCGGCGCCAGCAGCUCCCUCAGGUGGGGCGCAAGCCUCAGCGCGCCGCCCUUCUCCGCUCUGCUCCUCCAACCCGCCCUUAGAUAGGGCGGCGGCCCCGAGGACCCCUUUCCCAAGGGCGUCGGCCGGGAGCCUGGAGUCUGAAGGAGUGGCGGGAGAUGGGGACGCGAGUCCCGGGACGCCGACAGUCUCUAAGGCGUUGCUGCGUGGCUUUGGUACACAGAGCCUCGACCGCUUCUCCCAGCGCGGCAAGCACAGCUUGCCUUCAUCGCGCCCCAUCGGGGAAGCGGAUGGAGAAGCAAAGACAGACAGACAGACAGACAGACAGGCACGCGGCGGCGGGGCUAGCCUGAAACUCGAGCGUCUCCAAGCCCCCCACCCCCACCCCACCCUACCCUAGGGCACGGCGCUGCAGAUGCCAGAUCCCCGACCGGAGGCGGUAGAGAUGGGCAGGGCAAAGAACGCGCGCGCCGCUCGAGGCUCGUCCGCGCUUUUCCCGCGCGUGGCCUUCCUCUUGCGCCCCUGCACCUUCAAUUUACCUUAUGCAGGGCGCCCCGCGAGCUGCGGGCGGAGGCGCAGAGCCGAAGCCCGGAGGACAGGAGUUUGAGAGCCGCCAUCUUCGGCCCCGGGUGCGGGAGGAGGUGGCGAGGUGGCGCGCGCGGGAGUGCGUGCGAGUGCUGGUUGCCGGGGGCCGCGGCGGCGUCACCGGCUAAGGAGAGAAGAAGGCAAGGCGAGCGGUGGGGCGGGCUGGAGGCUCGACCGCGCGUCAGUGACGUCCUCGGGACCUCAGAGCGGUGCCGCCCCUUGCUGCCUGCUGGCUUGUCAAGAAGCGAGACAGGGAGGGGCCCACGGCUAGGAAUGGAAAGGCUGCACAGCCAGGACGAGCCCCGCGGGUUGUGGCUCGGGCUCCUCUGCGGGCACACCCGCAGCGGCGGGCGCCGCACUCAGGCUGGAGGGGGCGCUAGUGCCUGCCUUCCCCUUGCGCAAGGCUUGGCAUCCACCAGGGUUUCGGGUUCCCAAGGGCCUGGAGGGUCUCUUACUGAACGUGUUACUUUUCCAAGUCGCCCUCUGGAAUGAGUACAGGUACAAAGGGUCACUGAUAAAGAUCUCCUCCCAGAUCUAGACAGCUCACCUUUCCAACAUUUCUCAACCACCGCCCCCGCCCCCCAACUCUCUUCAAGUCUGGUUUUGCCCUUAGUUUCCUCUGAAACCCAGCAGUGUGCUGACUGACCCUCAUGAGACAUGACCUGCUUAACCUACAGAGGGACAAGAUUAGAACUGGGUCCUUGUUCCCCAUCAUCCUAGCUUGUGUUCCAGAAUUUUCCUGGCACCGGAGUCCCAACAAUUCCAGAGAUCACAGAGCAGGAGAAAGUGAAAAUAUCUGAGUUACACAAUCAGAAAGAAUGAAAAUGAGUCAUGUUAAGGUGCUAAGAAAACUUCAGCCAUCUAGCGCCCUCAAUUUCAUCAUAGGACACCUGCUUUGGAUUCUCAGCCUCUCCAAUGUCAGGGAGAGACUACCAUAAUUGACUUUGAUCCCCCUAGAACUGUAAGCCAAAAAAAAAAAAAAAAUGAGUUCUUUCUUCCAUAAAUUGCUUUUGAUCAUUGUGUUUUAUCACAGCAACAGCACAGCAACUAAUACAGAAGUUGGUACCAGAGUGGACUGAAGCUGUGUAGCACUUGACAGUGGUGCUUUGAGGAGGAAGGUGGAAGACUGUGGAGAUCUGGACAAGAACAGCAGCUGGAUACUUUCGGCAGAACUUAGAAGGUAAUCCUAAGGGAAACCUGAAGGAUAACCAUACUGAGAGCAAUGAGGACUGUGGAGACCCAGAGCAAAAGGUUUCAGAGAGGAACCCAAUCAGCCAUUGGGCUCCAAGCCCUUGUGAUAUUUGGGCAAAGAAACUAAUGGCCCUAGGCUUUGAUCCUAAGAACUUGCCUAAGGGGAAAUUUUUAAAGUAAUAAUAAUUUCUUUGGUGAAUAAAAUGUCAAGACCACAUAACAUUGAGUCUGUGGCAUGGUUUUUAUUGAUAAUGCUUCAGAUCUAUGAUGGAAAAGAGCCAGAAAGACAAAAUGAACAUUUUGGUUUGCUAAGGAGCAUUGGGAAUCUUACUGCCCGCACUGAAAGGGAGGCUAUAAUUGCUCAGGAGUCAAGCAUCAUUAAGGAGAGGCCUGCUCUGCACUGGAAUGUGGUUAACACUCUGCCCAGCUGAGUGAUCCUCUAGAUUCUGAAAGGAAAAAGCCUAAGAGGUUGAUAGCCAAACUUAGCAGGUUUCUCAAUAUGAUGUUAUCUUAGAUGCAUGAAGGAGGCCAAGACUGGAUCAUAGACUCUUCUUCCUGGGUCUCAGGGAGUUGUUGGGGCCAGGAAAUGUGUGGAACAGGGGUCGCUACAUGAAGGCUUUGAGAAGGGAAGAGGCUCUCAGAACACAUUGCAGGAAACUGUGACAGUAAAGCUCUUGCAGUAAAGAUCCUAAAAUUUUGGUGAUUCAGCAGCCAUGGCUUACCUGCUGUGACAACUUAUAUUUUAAUUAUUGUGCCUAGAGAGACCCAUGAAACAAAAAAAUUUCCCUUCCCCAAGGACAGAUACUUCAAAAAUGCUGAGGGCUGUUGUUUAAGGAAGAUAACAAGCCAUAUGUUUUCGCACUCAUAAGCAAAUUUGUUUGACCCAACUGUACCAGAUGAUCACCGGUAGGCAGAGGUAAGUAAAUAGGAAAUAUGUCAAGAUAUAUGCUUGUCCUUGAUUGGACCUUGAUUGGCCUUGUGGGGUUGCCUUUUUAAGCCUCUGCAAGAUGUGAUUCAUCGCCAUUUUCUGGGAACCUGGGAAUGAACCAGGUCAGUGUCCAUCCUCCUGGCCAGCAUUUAAUUAAUGAUUGCUUCAUAUUUGCCUCAAAGAUUGUGGCAGUGGUCUUAUUCCCAACUGGUGAGAUUAACACUGCCAAAGAGAACUGCAUACAGGGGCAGAACCAGUCCAGGAGAGAUAUGUAUGUUACAGGCAGAAAAGGUGGGGGAGUAGAGGUGUCUAAGCCCCUUGACAUCAGAUGUGAAACUACAGGUUUGCUCUUUGCCCUGUUGACUUCUGAUCUUACUUUGACAUAGCAUUCCCAUUUAGAAGGUUGGUGGGUAUUAUUUUCUGGGGCAUUACACAUUGAACAUACGUAAUUUGUGUUUUGAUCUUACAGGGGUUAUAAUUAAGAGAGUUCCUUGAGCCUCGGAA